rnacentral:lncRNA from 1 species
UUUGAUGCAUCGUCGUGCGGACCAAAUCGCGUGUCCUUGAAUGAUUGUUUAGAGAUAGGGCCAUGCUUGCUCCCUGACCUGGUAGAAGUGCUUCUAAGGUUUAGGAGGUGGCCUGUGGCUGUGACAGGUGACAUCACAAAGGCCUUUCCGCAGAUAUCCCUCUGCAAAGAGGAUCAGGACACACACAGGUUUCUGUGGGAGCGUGACGGGGUUGUGCGCAUGAUGAGGGCACAGAGAGUGAUUUUCGGUGUGUGCAGCUCUCCAUUUCUAUUGAACGCGACCAUACGCCACCACCUGUCUCACUACCCAGACUCUGCAGUGAUCACAGAAAUGCGUGAAAACUUCUAUGUAGACGACCUGCUGUCAGGAGCAGACACAGAGCAGGAGGCCGCCGAGCUUCUGUCAAAGGCUCAGGAGGUGAUGUCACACGCCGGUAUGACGCUCACUAAGUGUAAGACGAAUAGCCCAGUGCUGUUCGAAAAGGCUCAGACUGUGAUGGGGACAGGUCUGAACGAGAGCUGCAAAGUACUUGGUGUGAUGUGGCAGCCCACAGAUGAUGUGUUUACGUUUCAGGGCGUAACACUGCCUGAUGAUAUCGUGCCCACGAAGCGAGUUGUGCUCAGUUUUGUAGCUCGUAUGUUUGACCCUCUCGGCUUCGUCGGCCCGUUUGUGAUGACCUUGAAAUGUUUGUUUCAAGAGCUCUGGCACUUGGGUCUACACUGGGACGAGCCGCUUCCUGAGAUCUUCUCUGAGACCUUCAGUCGGUGGCUGAGGAAGCUGGAGCUGUUGAAAGAGUUCCAAGUGCCGCGCCGCUACUUCGAGAGGGCGUGGAAGGGCACCUAGCGAGUGGAGCUGCUGGCUUUCUGCGAUGCCUCGCCAAAAGGUGGCUCUCCAGCCCAACAGGUCAACCUGUCGCAGCUGCGGAGCCGGAGCCAGAGGCGCCACGGCUACUGGGUGAGGAGGCUGUUCUGACAGCAGCUACUCCGGCCCCGUGUUCGCUCGACUUCCAGCGCUGUGGAUCCUUCUCCAAGGCGGUGCGCGUCACGGCCUGGGUGAGGAGGUUCAUUCGGAACGCCAGGACGCCUGGUGCAGGCGCUCGAGGUAAGGGGCCCAGAACGCGGCAGAGUGCCGCUAAACGGCUUCAGCUGGAGUUAGACCCUGACGAGAUUGUGCAAGCGAGACGUCAGCUGCUAGUCCUGGUACAGGGUGAGGCCUACCCGGACGAGCUGAGAGCGCUGCGAUCGGGCAGAGACGUCGCGAAAGGGUCGUGCCUGUACCGUCUCGUGCCAUUUGUUGAUGAUGACGGACUGAUCAGGGUGAACAGCAGACUGCAGAUGUCUGAUCUGUCCUACGACGAGGUUCAUCCCGUCGUUCUGCCGACCUGUAACGUGUUUGGAGCUACUAGUCCGUGAGCAGCACUUGCUGAUACGACACGCUGGCGUGUCUGCCCUGAUCAGCUCACUCAGAGGGUCGUAUUGGAUUUUCGGACUGCGACGCCUCGCAAAGAGAGUGAAAAGGGGAUGUGUUCCAUGUCAAAGGCAGGAUACUCGAGCAUGCAACGCGCCAGUGGCGCCGCUUCCGAAGUCGAGGGUGACUGAGGCACCCCCGUUUGCUGUCCCCGCAUAGACUUCGCAGGGCCGGUGUUCUGUGUAGAUGAGCCGCGCAAAAAGUUGUACGUGUGCCUGUUCACAUGUGCGGUAACCAGGGCAGUGCAUGUAGAGCUGGUAGACUCCCUGUCUUUAGAUGACUUCAUGCUGGCGCUCAGGCGUUUUGCAGCCAGGAGGGGAAUGCCCACUGAGAUUUACUCCGAUAAUGCUGCGACGCUGAAAGGCGCUGAUUCUCUCUUGCAGAGACAGUUCGGACAUUUGGCACCGGCGUGGAAGUUUAUCGUUCCACUAUCCCCCUGGUGGGGAGGAUGGUGGGAAAGACUGAUUAGGUCGGUUAAGUCGGGACUGAGAAAGGCGCUAGGUAAGCGCUGCCUGACGAGGAUUGAGUUGGAGACGCUUCUCAGCGAGGUCGAGUCCUGCAUAAACUCGCAUCCAUUGGUCUAUGCUGGUGAUGAUGCGGAUGCGACCGAACCCUUGACUCCCAGUCACUUUCUGAUAGGCAAGGGGUCCGGCUUUCAGCCGGGAGAGCAGUUAGAUCCAGCUGCAGCAGCGCGACAGUCGCUGCCGGCUCGCGCCAGACUUCGUAAGGAGCGCAUGGAUCGGUUUUGGGAAGUUUGGUCGUCCGCCUACUUGCGCCAGUUACCCACUUCCGUUCGCCAAUUCUGCCAUCACGGUAGCUUGAGGGUAGGCUCAGUCGUUUUGAUUCAUGAAUCAUGAGAAGAACGUUCCGCGCUUAAUGUGGCCGGUUGGUGUGGUUGUGCGGCUGUAUAAAGGGUCUGAUGGUGUCGUACGAUCCGCGGACCUACGUACUGCGAAGGGUGUCCGUACUCGCGCGAUUCAGUGUCUCCACGAUCUAGAGUGCGAUUAGAGAGUGGAGCGUCUGGUUAGGCUUUCAGACAGAGUCGUCUCUCUUUCGUUGUAGUUAAGUGUAUCCUUGUGUGUGUAUACUGACCGGGUUUGUUGAUCAGUUGUUUGC